rnacentral:rRNA from 1 species
UACAGAGGGUGCAAGCGUUAAUCGGAAUUACUGGGCGUAAAGCGUGCGCAGACGGUUGCGUAAGUCAGAUGUGAAAGCCCCGGGCUCAACCUGGGAAUUGCAUUUGAGACUGCGUAGCUAGGGUGCGGAAGAGGGAAGCGGAAUUUCCGGUGUAGCGGUGAAAUGCGUAGAUAUCGUCUGGAACGCCGAAGGUGAAAACAGCUCGCUGGGGUUGUGCUGACGCUGAGACACGAAAGCCAGGGGAGCGAACGGG